GUGCUUCUUUUGACAGCACAUAUACUAAAGUUGUAAUGAUACAGAGAAGAUUUUCAGGAAUCCAAGCAAAAAUGACAUACAAAUUAAUGAUACAGUCCAUAAUUUU